AUACGGAGGGUCCAAGCGUUAUCCGGAAUCAUUGGGUUUAAAGGGUCCGCAGGCGGUCAAUUAAGUCAGAGGUGAAAGCCCAUCGCUCAACGAUGGAACUGCCCUUGAUACUGGUUGACUUGAGUUAUACGGAAGUAGAUAGAAUAAGUAGUGUAGCGGUGAAAUGCAUAGAUAUUACUUAGAAUACCGAUUGCGAAGGCAGUCUACUACGUAUAUACUGACGCUGAGGGACGAAAGCGUGGGGAGCGAACAGAAUUAGAUACCCUAGUAGUCC
rnacentral:rRNA from 1 species